UACGAAGGGGGCUAGCGUUGCUCGGAAUCACUGGGCGUAAAGCGCACGUAGGCGGCUUCUUAAGUCAGGGGUGAAAUCCUGGAGCUCAACUCCAGAACUGCCUUUGAUACUGGGAAGCUUGAGUCCGGGAGAGGUGAGUGGAACUCCGAGUGUAGAGGUGAAAUUCGUAGAUAUUCAGAAGAACACCAGUGGCGAAGGCGGCUCACUGGCCCGGUACUGACGCUGAGGUGCGAAAGCGUGGGGAGCAAACAGG
rnacentral:rRNA from 1 species